AUAGCUUAAUUACGUACGUAUAUGCAUAUUUUUUUUGUCACACACGUGACUACUCUACCACGGAACCAGGUGCCUGCCUCUCAACUCGUGGCGCUGCCACGUGUAUGGCUUGAGGCAUACUGGAUACGUGACCUCUAGCAGGCUACCAAGCCGAUAACGAGGGGUGGAGUUCCAUCGAGCUUCAGUCUCCUCCAAGAGUCGCUACAGCUCUGAGGUCGCUUUGGCAUACGCUGGGAGCCUCAUAUACACUCGAGAGAGGUGUUUUUACGCUGUCUUUGUAUCCUAGACCCUUAAAAAUGGCAUGGUCUGUUUGCAGAAACGUCAAAAGUUGAUGAGAUGCUGCUCGCCGCUGCGCUUGCUGUGUUAUUGAGCUUUCUAAAAGGUCAUAAUACGAAAAACUUCUUUUUUUUUUUUUUGUGCCAGAAUGAAAUAAUUAUUGUGUGGAUGUUUCUGACAUCCCUUCACUGUGAAGUUGACAGCUUGGUAGUCACAGUUGUGGUGCCUGCACUUUUGUUGGAAAUAGAUGAGUUAUAAGGUUGGUUUCGCCUUUUUCCUGCUUUACUGCCCCUGUGUGGGGAGGGUGUGCAGGGUGUGUAAAGGAGUUCUUCAAGAGAAUGAAUGCAAGAAAGGCAACUGAAGCCGGAAUAAAGAGGCAGCAGCACGUCAGGUGAAUGACACAAGACAAAACCCUACCCUUCCAGCGCCAGGCUCCAAGGCCGUGGCCUCCUCGCCCUGUAACACUGACACGGAUCAACUACACGCUGGUCAGAGGAAGAUUUCCCUUUGAGUGAGAUGGAAGGAGACGCAAUUGUUUCCCUCGCGGAGAUUUAAAAAUGGCGCUACACCCGCACUGUACCUUUAUUUUUAUUAUUAUAAGGCAAUUUCUCGUUUUUAAACUAUUUUUGAUUUUUUUUUUUUUUUGGAGAAUAAUGUGUUUUAUGUUUCUUGUGAAAGAAAAUAAAUGUGUUUAGUUUAAAUAUAUAAUAUAUAAAUUUUUCCCCUUUUUUUUUUUUGCAUAUUCACAAAUAUGGUGAGAUAGAGAAUAUGCAUCAUAUUUAAUAUUUCACUAUAGUUACUCCUUUAAGAGACAAAGAAAACCCUUAUGUAAGAGCACGUUAAAGGGAAAUUGAAGUAAACUUAUCCUUUAUUUUUUUUUCGUGUAUUUUGCAGCGUUAUCAAAGAGAUUUAACUAUUUCCUUCAGCAAGCACAAAAAAGACACUCCACAAUGAAAGGAUUGUUGCAUAAAAUGGACAAAACCA